AUUGAACGCUGGCGGCAUGCCUUACACAUGCAAGUCGAACGGUAACGCGGGGCAACCUGGCGACGAGUGGCGAACGGGUGAGUAAUGCAUCGGAACGUGCCCAGUAGUGGGGGAUAGCUCGGCGAAAGCCGGAUUAAUACCGCAUACGACCUACGGGUGAAAGCGGGGGACCGUAAGGCCUCGCGCUAUUGGAGCGGCCGAUGUCAGAUUUGGUUGUUGGUGGGGUAAGGGCCUACCAAGCCGACGAUCUGUAGCUGGUAUGAGAGGACGACCAGCCACACUGGGACUGAGACCCGGGCCAGACUCCUACGGGAGGCAGCAGUGGGGAAUUUUGGACAAUGGGGGCAACCCUGAUUCAGCCAGGCCGCGUGCGGGAAGAAGGCCUUCGGGUUGUAAACCGCUUUUGUCAGGGAAGAAACGCUUCGAGCUAAUACCUCGAGGUAAUGACGGUACCUGAAGAAUAAGCACCGGCUAACUACGUGCCAGCCGCCGCAGUAAGAC
rnacentral:rRNA from 1 species